rnacentral:rRNA from 11 species
GUAUGCAACUACUUAAUACCCUAAAGGCACCAAAUCAUGUCUGAUCUUGAAAACUAGGCAGGGUCAGCCUUGGUUAGCAUGUGAAUGGGAAACCACCAGUAAAUACCGGGUGCUGAAGGCU